rnacentral:rRNA from 1 species
CGGUAAUUCCAGCUCCAAUAGCGUAUACUAAAGUUGUUGCAGUUAAAAAGCUCGUAGUUGGAUUUCUGCGGGGACGGAGCGGCCGGUCGCAACUUGCGACUCGAGCUAGCGCUUUCCCCGCAUCCUGCCGCGAACCGUGCUACCAUUAGCUUGGUGGCGCUGGGGAUCGGCUCGAUUACUUUGAGAAAAAUAGAGUGUUCAAAGCAGGCCACACGCCUUGAAUAAGUUAGCAUGGAAUAAUGACUAAGGACUUCGGUUCUAUUUUGUUGGUGUUCGGGACUGAAGUAAUGAUUGAUAGGGACAGUUGGGGCGGUCUGUAUUCCAAAGCGAGAGGUGAAAUUCUUAGACCUUCGGAAGACAAACAGCUGCGAAAGCGUUCCGCAAGGAUGUUCCCUUUGAUCAAGAACGAAAGUUGGGGGAUCGAAGACGAUCAGAUACCGUCGUAGUCUCAACUAUAAACUAUACCAGCUAGGGAUCGGUCAACGUUUAAUCAUUCGACUUGAUCGGCACCUUAUGAGAAAUCAAAGCAUCCGGGUUCCGGGGGGAGUAUGGUCGCAAGGCUGAAACUUAAAGGAAUUGACGGAAGGGCACCACCAGCCGUGGAGCCUGUGGCUUAAUUUGACUCAACACGGGAAAACUUACCAGGUCCAGACAUAGUAAGGAUUGACAGAUUGAUAGCUCUUUCUUGAUUCUGUGGGUGGUGGUGCAUGGCCGUUCUUAGUUGGUGGAGUGAUUUGUCUGGUUAAUUCCGUUAACGAACGAGACCCCAGCCUGCUAAAUAGCGCGGCUGAGCUUUGCUCGGUGCGAGCUUCUUAGAGGGACUAUGAUGCGCGAUAGCACAUGGAAGUUUGGGGCAAUAACAGGUCUGUGAUGCCCUUAGAUGUUCUGGGCCGCACACGGGCUACACUGGCGCCUGCAACGAGCAUAUCAGCUGGCCCGAGAGGGUCUUGGCUAAUCUUUUGAACCGGCGCCGUGCUUGGGAUUGACCAUUGCAAUUGUUGGUCAUGCAACGAGGAAUGCCUUGUAAACGCGAGUCAUCAGCUCGCAUUGAAUACGUCCCUGCCCUUUGUACACACCGCCC